GCCGUUGUAGCUCAGUGGUAGAGCGUGUGACUUGUAAUCAUAAGGUCCCUGGUUCGAUCCCGGGCUGCGGCA